ensembl:snRNA
AAAAAGGACUUGUGUUGUGAGUGACACACAUGACAGCUUUCUUGCUCUGGUGCAGAAUGGACAUCAAGAGAUUUCAGAAGCAUAAUUUGGGGGGCACUAGCCCAGCUGAUGAUCAUUGAUCCUGGCACCCCA